GGCGCGCCCACCCUUCCUAUAAUAGCUGGCCCUGUGCACACAAAAUAUUAUUGAACUUGCCAGGAGGCUGAAAGACAAAAACAAAACAAUAACACUUGAAGGAUAAAAAACAAUAAAAAAAAAACUCUUUUCUAAAGCUUCAACUGUUUUAAGAGCUUCUUUGUUAGUGCAAGAUUCAAUAGGUUUUACUUACAGCAGGGGUGCUCACACUUUUUUGGCAUGUGAGUUACUUUUGAGUCGACAAUGUCUUGAAGAUCUACCUAUAUAUGUUAGGAUUAUGAGCUCCUCCCACUCCUACAGGGAAUAAUCGCCUCACCUGUUUCCAGUCUCCUUGUCAACCUUCAGCCUAUUUAUGGACUCCUCACCUUCCAGCCGAUGUCAGUCCGUCUGCUCUCAGCGACAUUGCCUCCAGCAUCCUUCACACCUUUGGUCUCAUCUGCCGUCAAGGAUCCAGCCGUCUAAGCCGGAACUUCCCCACCACCACUGGGACUGAUUAAAAACUCUUUCUCACCAACCAUCUCUGUUCUGUCCUGCUUCUGGGUCCAGCCUCGUGAACUCUAACAUAUAUAUAUAUAUAUAUAUAUAUAAAAAUACUAUCAGUACAUUUUUGUUAGUUAUGUUUAUUAGUUACAUGUUUGCUUGUACAUUGUUGUUUAUGUAUUGACUAUUAAAAACUAUACAAGAUUAAACAAAGAUACUUUUGUAUGAACAGUUGAGACGUUUUUUUACAAAGACAGAAAGCAGCAACUAUCCUAUGUCAUGCUCUGCUGUAAACCGUGCAAUGGGGGGAUCGUGGCAUUUCAAAGGCGCUGCUGGCUGGGUACGGAGAAAACACUGCAUCCUUAAUGAGUUCUUUUUUAUCGGGCGGGAACUGCA